GUUUCAGAGGUCGAUUCACAGCUCCUGGUCCAGCCUCUUCACUGACUGCUACUGGGUACACACUCCCAGAGCUCCAGGAGCUUUGCCGUAUCCCUUCAUAAAGUAAUGAAUGUAUGAAUGAUGCAACCCACACCAGAUGACUAACGCCCAGGCACCUACUUACUGCUAAGUGAACAGGGGCACCAGGUGUAAGGAAAGAUGCCUAACGUUUCAACACAUGAAGCGGAACGACCCACGUACUCAGUAGUUGGUGAGGCUAGAGCAGCGCAUGACCUGAUGAUGACCUGAUGAUGACCUGAUGAUGACCUGAUGAUGACCUGAUGAUGACCUGAUGAUGACCUGAUGAUGACCUCGAAGGAGUUUAACGUCUAAUUAAAUAAGAUUUAAGAUUUGUUAGGAUUUUUAACCCAGGAGAGAGUUAGCAACCCAGCGUGACCCAAUAAAGUCAGUGCGUCAUCGAGGACUGUCUUAUUUCCAUUUGGGUCUUGCAAACAUGUCCCCCAGGAUGCCACCCACACCAGCCUGCUAACACCCAGGUACCUACUUAAUGCUGGAUGAAUAGAGAUAGCAGGUGUAACGAGAGAUGCCCAAUGUUUCACCUGUGCCGGGAUCGA